rnacentral:lncRNA from 9 species
ACUCCUAUGCAAGUGAAGUUCUCAAGACACAGGUUCCAUGCAGACUCAGAAAUAUCUUCGUGGUAUCAAGUGUCCUAAGAGAAGAUUCAGGAGCUAUAGUUGCUGGGUCCUGGGAGGUCCCCUGACUUCUAACUCCUAAGACCUCCCUUCUAAUAAAUUACCCCUCUCUUAUUUUAAGGAAACUAGGUAGAUCAGUUUCUAUUGCUUACAGUCAAAAAAAUGUUAAGUAAACUGGUAUAUGUCUAUCUCCUCCCCCACCAAGAAAGCCCUUACUUGUAUAAGGAGCAUGAGAUUCCUCAAUUUAACGAUGUCAUUGAUAGUGGACACGAAUGUGCUUGUCCCAAAUAUACUUUUAGGAAAGAAUACCUAGAAUGGACUGAUACUGAAUCACAAGUUAAAUUACCCAAAGUUGCCUCAGAGGGAGUUGCUGGAAUGGGGACUAUGUAGCAAAAGAUGAAUCAGCCUACAUUCAGUGUGGAUCGUGAAUUGAAAUGGGCUUGGAGGACAACGAGGAGAUUUGGUGGCUAAGAGAUACAUAGAUUGGGGCCUGAAGUUUUUUAUUUGAGCUGAACAAGUAGGGCAAAUCAUUAUGUUCUGUUAUGCUUUUUAUGGUUUAAGAAAAAAUUAGUUAACAUUGUUAUAACAUUUCCAUGUCCCACACACGUUAUUUCUAAUCUAAACCUGCACAAGGGUUCUCUCUCCCUGAUUUUCAAGUAGGCCAUGCCAUCUUCAAUUAUCUCAAGGUACACUGAAAAUUUAUCAGAGAUUCUUAAAUGUCAUACCUGCUAAUUAUAAAAAUAAAUGAAGAUAAGAGAUAUUUUAUGUCAUGGGAUUAAACCGAUGGCUUUUAAAUGCUGCACAUUCAAGGAGGUUUGGAACUGCUGAUUUGGGAACUGCGGGCUAGGGCAAAUGUAUCAAAGAUGCAGGCAGAGAAAGCUGUGCUUGUGAUGAGGAGAGAUUGAGAGCUGGUGACAAAAGCUGUUGAGUUGAGAACACCUUGCCACUUAUUAUAGUUAAGAUAGCUCGCCUUGCUGUGGGCUCUUUAUUUUAAUGUAGAUGUCUGAGAGUGAGUGGGUGAUUGAGGGAAAUGGAGAGAGGUGAUGUGUCUUCCCAGGGCAAGAUGGCAAUUGAGUGACUACCAAACCCUUCCCCUGUGAUGUUAAUAUAUGCACUCAUUGUUCCACCCUCUUUUCUAGUAACAGUAAACAACAUUUGUCACUUGCAGAGGACGACUUUGUACUUCAGCACUGAUGGUGAACCAACAUUUGUAUUUCAAGGACCAAAGCUCAGGCGGCGGAAGUGGGAGGCCCAGAAAAGAUGUAUGUGGUGGGUGGAGAGAGAGAACAGGACAGGGUUCACAUGUGCAAACCGGCGGAUCAUUCAUAAGUCUGGCUUCCAUGACAGGAGAUGGCCUAAUGCCUCAUUAAUUCCCGCAGAGAUGACGAUGAUAUAUCACCCCCUUUCAAUCUGAAACUAAGUAAUGCGUUCAAAAAAAACACCUAAUUUGCACAUGUUUAAUGCGUUCAUUAAGCUAUUAGUCUUUCAACAAGAGAUUUAAUAGCAAAUUAACAUUUCUUUUAAAUAAUAAAAAAUCAUCCCCCCCAAAGCCCCCAGUGAAUACAAUUAUUUUGUGUUUUGAGCACAAUUGGCUGUAGGAGAAAACACUUGGCACUAGAUUGGGGGUGGGAAAGACCAUAUUGGGUUCUUAUUUAUUACGCAAUUAGUCACCCUGGGGCAUUAUUUUCUUUGAAAAACAAUGUUUCUGGGGAACAAAAGGCCUAUUGGAAGUAGAUAUAAGAAGGUCAAAGACAGAAAAGAAUCCAAAAGGGCUAAUUUUGUGAACUGAAUCAUGAAAAACAAAACAAAACAAAAAAUGGCUUGCCCUAAUUAUAAGGUUUGUGAAACAAUGAAAUCGACUUUGUUUGGUCAACAUUCAAAUAUCAAUAUUUACCUACCAUUCACUUAGCUCCUGUUAUGUGUUGAGCACUGGGCUAGAUAAUGUAAGAGAUUUAACAUAAGGGAAAAAAUAUCCUGCAUUCUUCCUCUCCAUAAGGUUGUUUUGAAUAGCUACUAAGUGAUGUGUGCCAUGUAAAGCAAGAUGAGUAGAUCAUGGGCUCAUUUCUUGGGUAAGUUAUAUAGCUGGUCAACAGAAAAAAAAAAAAAAAGGUACAACCUAAAAGUUGAGACUUAUGUUUUAUUUGGUGGACAACACUGAGGACCUAAGCCUGGAUCAUAGCCUCUCAGAUUGUUCUCAGCAGGCUGUGAGGUAAGAGCACUGAACCCUAACCACUUGAUGUAGGUCCUCAUGCCUUGUCCCUUGGGGGAAAACAUCAUCAGAGAGACUGGAAGUAGUGAGCAAGUGUGUAGUUCUGGAGGUCUCCUUGACCUCAAGAAUGAGAAACAUGUGGUGCCUUUAUCUUUUAUCCAAGGAGGACUAAGCUCCUCCUUGCUCAUGCCAUUACCUUUAUAUUCAAGUAUGUGUCCACAGGGGGUAGAUUGCAGUUGCUCAGCCUGGACCCAUCUAUCUCCUGCCUCAGGAUAGCUCUGAGGGUCUACUCUGAGGAAGUAAAGGAGGAGCCAGGAUAUUUGGGAAUUUUCGACACAAAAACCAGGUAGUUGAAACAUCAAAAUAUUAUUAAUUAAUAGGAGACAUCUCAAGUUAAUGAAUUUAGUGAUUUUCUAUGUAUAGGAAGAGAUAAGAGUCUUGGCUUUUGGAAAUCAUUCCUUUGAUAUGCACCUUUACUAUCUAGGGCCAGUAUCCUAUUUUUCUGUAUCCUGAAUCCCCUCAGGGUGCACAGUUGAGGGCAGUUGCAGUGGCUGAUGACUUGAGGACUAUGGCAUCAUUUGUUACUGAUAUAUAAGGCAACAUUCUUUGUCUACAAGAUGAAUUUGAAAGAUAAGCAUGUAGGCAAAAAUUCAUAUCUAACUUGCUAAAUCCUAAAAAUAUAGGAAUAGACAAAGUGGUUUGAGAGCAAAGAUGAAGGAAAUUCUAACUCAAAUGGGAUAUUUAAAGAAAGAUUUAUAAAUACAGUGCAGUUUAGGCUGGAACUUUAAGAUUGGCACACAUUAGACAUGGAGAAAGGAGUGGAAAGUGUACUUCAAAUGCAGUGAGAGCAUGAGCAAAUGUACAAAGGAAAAUAUGUAAUGCAUAAUUUAAAAAUUGACUUGGGUUUGCCUUCUGUCUUAGUCAGUUUAGGCUGUGAUAAUACAGCAUAUACUAUGUAACAGGAUAUCAUAGAUUUGAUAGCUUAAACAACGAAGAGUUACUGCUUAUGGUUCUGGAGUCUGGGAAGUCCAAGUUCAAGAUGCUGGCAGAUUUAUUGUCUUGUGAGGGCCCUCUUUCUGAUUUCUAGCUAGUUGUCUUCUAGCUGUACCUUCACAUGGUAGAAAAAGAGCUCUUUCUUAUAAGGGCAGUCAUCCCACUCAUGAAGGCUCCACUUAUUACAUGACCUUUUGAUGUCACCAAAGCCCCACCUCCUAAUAUCAUCACACUGGAGGUUAGGGUUUCAACAUAUGCAUUUUAUGGUGAUGUAAACCCUUCAGUAUAUAACAGCUUCUCUGUUGGAUAUUACCUAUGUUCUUUCCUUCCUGAAUUCCAAGGCAUUUUAUUAUAUGAGUUUGAAUCUGGUUCUGUAGAGAAGCAGAGAAGACAUGGAGAACAUAUUGAUUAGUGUCCACAUAUAAAUUUAUAUUGCAUCCUGAAACUGGGCUCUACAAAGCAAUAUAGCUGUUAUGUGGCUGUUGAGAAGAAAACCUUUUUCACUUUCAGUAGUUAACGAUCUCAGGGUAAAACAAAUUCCAGUAUAUUUCAUUAAAUAAAUAUGGGAUUUUUACAGCAGUUUCAACAAAUAUCGCUCAAGGACAUUGCCUCAUAUUCUUCUAUUCCCACUCUCAUAAAAUUUCCUAUUUGUUUGUACCAUCCAUGGCACAUUAUGUGUUCUUUUUAAUAGACUAUCAUAUUACAUGUAUUCUCUCCCUUAAGUAUAUGUCUUCCAAAUGAACCCAAUGAAAUUUUCAUCUUGCUUUAAUGAAUUAUACUUAAAAUUAAAAUCUAGAGUGAAAUGUGCUAUAUUAGUCAAUCUAUUAAUAGCAGCAGGCAUAUUCUUCCAUUGCUGUAUACAUACUGCUUUGGUUUGAAGAAGAUACUUAAAUUAUUUCUGAGAAAAGAUUCUAGGCUGAUUGACAACUGCACAAUACUAGUUAUUAAUAUUAUUCCACGUCUGACAGAUUUCUCUCACCAUGAUAUACUUUGCAAGUUCCUGGGUGAACUUUGAUUUGUCACCUUGCGAACCAAAGAAAGAAAGAAUAAAUCUUGAAAAAGCUCAAAAUCCAUCUUUUUGGAAAAGAGCAAAGAAUCAAAUGAGUAAAUAACAUCAACAUCAAUAUUCCAUGUCUUCAUGCACACCCAAACUUUGAAGAACAUCUGUCUUCCUGCCACUAAUGAUUUUGUUCCAGAUGUAAUCCAAAUAUGUUUGCAAAUGGGGAGCAUAGGGGUUAGCACAAUUUGCUUUGCAAGCAGUUGGUGCUUAUUAUAGCUAUUUUUUGUUUCUUUUAAAAUAUAUAUACAUUUCAAAAGUGAUAUGGCACCCUACACUGAUCUGCUUGAAAUGACAGUAAAAUAAAUCUAAAAUUGCCUUUGGCUUUGCUGUUCAUCUUCUUAAAAAGAGAGGCAAUGUAGUAUAAUGGCAACAGUGUGAGUUUUAGAGUCAAGACAAAGUAUCUCAAGCAGCAAAUGAACAAACUCCUCCAUUUAUGCCUCUUAUUUCCUAUAUGACUUUGAUAAAACUGCUAAUAAUGGUAAUAAUAGUAAGAAAAACUGUUUUAUAUAUUGCAUAUUAAGUGUUCUACUAAGUGAUUUACAUGAAAUAACUCCUUUGUCAUCUUCAUAUACGCCCUCCAAACUCUGUGGUAUUACUCUUCCAAUUUUAGAAGGGAGAAAACAAAGGCAUAAGAAGUGAAAUGAUUUGCCCAAAGACUGAGAGCUAAAGAGUACAAAAAAAAAUCAGAUUCAGAACCUCAACUCAAAGUGACCACAUUCUACCAUCAUUUCUUGAGCACUGUAUCUAAUACAUUGCAAAGUACAGGCAGCUAAAUAACAUUAUCAGUAACAGUAUUAUGCAGACGUUGGUUAGGUGCUUACUCUGUGACUGCCAGUCCUGGAAACUUAAUAAUUUUAUUUCAUAAAUCCUCACUAUAACCCAAUGAGAUAGGUCCUCAUAUAGAAAAGGAAGGGGAGGCACAAGCAAUUAGGCCCUGGGUCAUACAGUUAUUAAUGACUAGAACAAGAAUAUGAAUUUAGGUAUUCUGAGUCCAGAUACCACUUUUUUUUUUUUUAACUCUUAAUGUCUAUCUUAAGUACUUCCUGAAUGAGUGAAUAAAUUUUCCCUUUCUCAGUCCUAAUUCUUCACUGCAAAAUGGCUACGAUUAAUGCCAGUUCCCACUUUAAUGAAAUAUAUGGAUCACGUUUUUGUGAAGGUAGGCAUCAUUAUCAUUCCCGUUUUAUGAGAACAGUAUCAGAUUUGUAUGAGUCUGGGAAACGGUUUGGCAUUAUUGUCAACUUAUUCAGGAAAGGGUAGAGAAGAGACUUAACCCUGCUUUCAGAGGCCAAAUGCUCUGCUUCUCACCUUCUCCAUGUUGCCUCAUCUAAAGUGUAAAGAAUCUUGUUGAGAGGUCCUUAUGUAUUGGAUGCUUUGUCAUCAGCAGUCUCGUGCUGUUCCCUAGACCACCCAUUCCUUUAUUUAUUACAACUAGGAAGUACAUACAUACAAUUUAGUGUUAGGCAGGAGUAGAGAGGGUAGAGAGCUGAGUCCCUGAGUUGUUCAAAAGAUUUCUAAAAGCCAUUUGCAGCCUGCAACAUGGAAAGUACAGCCAGAGAGACUUGACACAUUGAAAUUCAAAUGUAUCUUUCUGGCAGCAGACUAUCACCAGGUCCUGGAAAGCCGGAGUCUGGGUGAGCUGAGAAGUAAUGAAGCCCUGCUUCUCAUGUCAUUGACUCUGGCAUUUCAAGCACCACAUUCAUAACAGAAGACACAAACUGCUGGGUCCCUCUCUCCUUCACUAAAUUGAAAUGGUUCCGCAGGGGACUAUGGCAACAAGGAUGAAAGAAAAAUAGCAUUCCUUUUCCCACUGUACAAAAAGAAGGUGCUGACAAUGUUUAUUCAAAAGAAUAACCUCUGGAAAUGGUGUUGGGACAUGGUGACGGUAUGCCUAGCCAUGCUUCAGUAAAGAUAGCCAGCAUCCUAGAGGAUGGAGAAAUAGUGUUAUUAUGCUCUUUUAUUUAUUUGAGUGUAAGCAUUGAAGAAAUCCAGGACUCGGGAAAUUCUCCCAUUCCAUAAGCAUCCCCUAUGUAUAGCAGCUUGGAGUUUUAGCUGCCAUUAACAGAAACCUAGAUGCAAAUUAGCUUAGGUUAAAAAGAAGAUGUAGGGAGUUCCCGUCGUGGCUCAGUGGUUAACGAAUCCAACUGGGAACCAUGAGGUUGCAGGUUCAAUCCCUGUCCUCGCUCAGCGGGUUAAGGAUCUGGUGUUGCUGUGAGCUGUGGCAUAGGUCUAAGAUGUGGCUCAGAUCUGGUGUUGCUGUAGCUGUGGUGUAGGCCGGUGGCUACAGCUCUGAUUAGACCCCUAGCCUGGGAACCUCCAUAUGCU